rnacentral:rRNA from 1 species
AUUGAACGCUGGCGGCAGGCUUAACACAUGCAAGUCGAACGAGUGGCGGACGGGUGAGUAAUGAUUGGGAAUCUAGCUUAUGGAGGGGGAUAACUACGGGAAACUGUAGCUAAUACCGCGUACCAUAGGAUGAGCCCAAGUGGGAUUAGGUAGUUGGUGAGGUAAAGGCUCACCAAGACGACGAUCUCUAGCUGGUCUGAGAGGAUGACCCGCCACACUGGGACUGAGACACGGCCCAGACGCCUACGGGAGGCAGCAGUGGGGAAUAUUGGGCAAUGGGGGCAAGCCUGACGCAGCCAUGCCGCGUGUAUGAAGAAGGCCUUCGGGUUGUAAAGUACUUUCAGUCGGGAGGCGUUACCGACAGAAUAAGCACCGGCUAACUCCGUGCCAGCAGCCGCGGUAAUUC